AACGCGAAGAACCUUACCUGGGCUCGAAAUGCUGUGGACCAGCUUAUGAAAGUAGGCCUUCCCGCAAGGGACCGCAGUAUAGGUGCUGCAUGGCUGUCGUCAGCUCGUGUCGUGAGAUGUUGGGUUAAGUCCCGCAACGAGCGCAACCCUUGUCCUGUGUUGCCAUACCGAAAGGUGGAACUCGCAGGAGACCGCCAGGGAUAACCUGGAGGAAGGUGGGGAUGACGUCAAGUCCUCAUGGCCUUUAUGUCCAGGGCUACACACGUGCUACAAUGGACGGUACAAAGGGCUGCCAACCCGCGAGGGGGAGCCAAUCGCAAAAAACUGACCUCAGUACAGAUAAGAGUCUGCAACUCGACUCUUUGAAGUUGGAAUCGCUAGUAAUCCCUGAUCAGCAGGCAGGGGUGAAUACGUUCCCGGGCCUUGUACACACCGAGACGUA
rnacentral:rRNA from 1 species